GACGAACGCUGGCGGCGUGCCUAAUACAUGCAAGUUGAGCGCUGAAGGUUGGUACUUGUACCAACUGGAUGAGCAGCGAACGGGUGAGUAACGCGUGGGGAAUCUGCCUUUGAGCGGGGGACAACAUUUGGAAACGAAUGCUAAUACCGCAUAAAAACUUUAAACACAAGUUUUAAGUUUGAAAGAUGCAAUUGCAUCACUCAAAGAUGAUCCCGCGUUGUAUUAGCUAGUUGGUGAGGUAAAGGCUCACCAAGGCGAUGAUACAUAGCCGACCUGAGAGGGUGAUCGGCCACAUUGGGACUGGGACCCGGCCCAAACUCCUACGGGAGGCAGCAGUAGGGAAUCUUCGGCCAUGGACGGAAGUCUGACCGAACAACGCCGCGUGAGUGAAGAAGGUUUUCGGAUCGUAAAACUCUGUUGGUAGGGAAGAACGUUGGUGAGAGUGGAAAGCUCAUCAAGUGACGGUAACUACCCAGAAAGGGACGGCUAACUACGUG
rnacentral:rRNA from 1 species